GACAGAGGGUGCAAACGUUGUUCGGAAUUACUGGGCGUAAAGCGCGUGUAGGCUGCUCCGAAAGUCGGAUGUGAAAGCCCUGGGCUCAACCUAGGAAGUGCACUCGAAACUUCGGAGCUGGAGCCUGGAGAGGAAGGCGGAAUUCUCGGUGUAGAGGUGAAAUUCGUAGAUAUCGAGAGGAACACCGGUGGCGAAGGCGGCCUUCUGGACAGUGACUGACGCUGAGACGCGAAAAGCGUGGGGAGCAAACAGGG
rnacentral:rRNA from 1 species